AUUGAACGCUGGCGGCAGGCCUAACACAUGCAAGUCGAGCGGAUGAAGGGAGCUUGCUCCUGGAUUCAGCGGCGGACGGGUGAGUAAUGCCUAGGAAUCUGCCUGGUAGUGGGGGAUAACGUCCGGAAACGGGCGCUAAUACCGCAUACGUCCUGAGGGAGAAAGUGGGGGAUCUUCGGACCUCACGCUAUCAGAUGAGCCUAGGUCGGAUUAGCUAGUUGGUGGGGUAAAGGCCUACCAAGGCGACGAUCCGUAACUGGUCUGAGAGGAUGAUCAGUCACACUGGAACUGAGACACGGUCCAGACUCCUACGGGAGGCAGCAGUGGGGAAUAUUGGACAAUGGGCGAAAGCCUGAUCCAGCCAUGCCGUGUGUGUGAAGAAGGUCUUCGGAUUGUAAAGCACUUUAAGUUGGGAGGAAGGGCAGUAAGUUAAUACCUUGCUGUUUUGACGUUACCAACAGAAUAAGCACCGGCUAACUUCGUG
rnacentral:rRNA from 1 species